GGGCCUGUAGCUCAGCGGUAGAGCAGUGGACUUUUAAUCCAUUGGUCGUGGGUUCGAAUCCCACCGGGCUCACCA
rnacentral:tRNA from 1 species